rnacentral:rRNA from 1 species
GACGUAGGGUGCGAGCGUUGUCCGGAUUUACUGGGCGUAAAGGACGCGUAGGCGGCCUGUUAAGUGUGAAGUGAAAUCUCCAGGGCUCAACUCGGAAACUGCUUCGCAUACUGGCAGGCUUGAGGAACGCAGAGGUGAGCGGAAUUCCUGGUGUAGCGGUGAAAUGCGUUGAUAUCAGGAGGAACACCGAUGGCGAAAGCAGCUCACUGGGCGUUAUCUGACGCUGAGGCGUGAAAGCGUGGGUA